UUUCCGUAGGUGAACCUGCGGAAGGAUCAUUCAUAAUAAAGUGUUUUAUGGCCCUUUUUAAAAAUCCAUAUCCACCUUGUGUGCUAUUUUAAGUCUCGCGUUCAAGCCAGUUUCGACUGUUCUGGGGCAGGGUCUUUAUAUAUCAACUCUCUCUUAAACCAUCAUGUCUGAAAAAUAUUAUGAAUACUUAAUUCAAAUUACAACUUUCAACAACGGAUCUCUUGGUUCUC
rnacentral:misc_RNA from 1 species